rnacentral:rRNA from 1 species
GACGAACGCUGGCGGCGUGCCUAAUACAUGCAAGUAGAACGCUGAAGGAGGAGCUUGCUUCUCUGGAUGAGUUGCGAACGGGUGAGUAACGCGUAGGUAACCUGCCUGGUAGCGGGGGAUAACUAUUGGAAACGAUAGCUAAUACCGCAUAACAGUAGAUAUCGCAUGAUAUCUACUUGAAAGGUGCAAUUUCAUCACUACCAGAUGGACCUGCGUUGUAUUAGCUAGUUGGUGAGGUAACGGCUCACCAAGGCGACGAUACAUAGCCGACCUGAGAGGGUGAUCGGCCACACUGGGACUGAGACAAGGCCCAGACUCCUACGGGAGGCAGCAGUAGGGAAUCUUCGGCAAUGGACGGAAGUCUGACCGAGCAACGCCGCGUGAGGGAAGAAGGUUUUCGGAUCGUAAAGCUCUGUUGUAAGAGAAGAAAGAGUGUGAGAGUGGAAAGUUCACACUGUGACGGUAUCUUAACAGAAAGGGACGGCUAACUACGUG